UACGUAGGGUGCGAGCGUUGUCCGGAAUUACUGGGCGUAAAGGGCUUGUAGGUGGUUUGUCGCGUUGUUCGUGAAAUCCCGUGGCUUAACUGUGGGCGUGCGGUCGAUACGGGCAUCACUGGAGUUCGGCAGGGGAGACUGGAAUUCCUGGUGUAGCGGUGAAAUGCGCAGAUAUCAGGAGGAACACCGGUGGCGAAGGCGGGUCUCUGGGCCGAUACUGACGCUGAGACGCGAAAGCGUGGGGAGCGAACAGG
rnacentral:rRNA from 1 species